CUCUCCCACUUCUUUUUUUUUUUCUCUUUUCCCUUUCUCUUCAUCCUCUCCCUGAGGUGUAGGAGGAGUUUUGGGAGCGAAAGGAGAGCCAGAGAAUUGUGGAGAGUUAUCAGGAAGGGUGUGAGAAGCGAGAUUGGGGGUAUUUUUAAGAGAAGUCCGGGGGUACAAAUCCAAAGAUUUUUGAUAACAUGCAUCCUCAGAGACAGAACGAUCUUUCAACAAUUGAAGUAGAACAGUUUUGUCAAUUGUUAGUUUGAAUUCAUAUUCAUAAGAUUGGUAUUUGAGGAAUGAUCUGAUCGAAGAUCCAAUCUCCAUCAGGUG
rnacentral:ribozyme from 13 species